UACGAGGGGUCCUAGCGUUGUUCGGAAUCAUUGGGCGUAAAGGGUGUGUAGGUGGCUAUGUAAGUCAGGUGUGAAAGCCCCGGGCUCAACCCGGGAAGUGCAUCUGAUACUGCGUAGCUUGAGUACCGAAGAGGAUAGUGGAAUUCCAGGUGUAGUGGUGAAAUACGUAGAUAUCUGGAGGAACACCGGUGGCGAAGGCGGUUCUCUGGGCCUGUACUGACGCUGAGGAGCGAAAGCGUGGGGAGC
rnacentral:rRNA from 1 species